rnacentral:tRNA from 1 species
GCUUCGGUAGUUCAGUUGGUUAGAAUACGCGACUGAUAAUCGCGAGGUCGGCAGUUCAAAUCUGCCUCGGAGCA